rnacentral:rRNA from 1 species
UACGUAGGGUGCCAGCGUUGUCCGGAAUUAUUGGGCGUAAAGAGCUCGUAGGCGGUCUGUCGCGUCUGCUGUGAAAACUCGGGGCUUAACCCCGGGCCUGCAGUGGGUACGGGCAGACUAGAGUGCGGUAGGGGAGACUGGAAUUCCUGGUGUAGCGGUGAAAUGCGCAGAUAUCAGGAGGAACACCGGUGGCGAAGGCGGUGCUCUGGGCCGGAACUGACGCUGAGGAGCGAAAGCGUGGGGAGCAAACAGG